AGUCAACAUGCCCAGGGGACAUGGAUAACCUCGGGAAACUGAGGAUAAACCGCGAUAGGUCAUCACUUCUGGAAUGGGUAAUGACUUAAAUCUAUAUGGCCCCUGGAUUGGACUGCGGCCGAUCAGGCUGUUGGUGAGGUAAUGGCCCACCAAACCUGUAACCGGUACGGGCUCUGAGAGGAGGAGCCCGGAGAUGGGCACUGAGACAAGGGCCCAGGCCCUAUGGGGCGCAGCAGGCGCGAAACCUCUGCAAUAGGCGAAAGCUUGACAGGGUUACUCUGAGUGAUUUCCGUUAAGGAGAUCUUUUGGCACCUCUAAAAAUGGUGCAGAAUAAGGGGUGGGCAAGUCUGGUGUCAGCCGCCGCGGUAAUACCAGCACCCCGAGUGGUCGGGACGUUUAUUGGGCCUAAAGCAUCCGUAGCCGGUUCUACAAGUCUUCCGUUAAAUCCACCUGCUUAACAGAUGGGCUGCGGAAGAUACUAUAGAGCUAGGAGGCGGGAGAGGCAAGCGGUACUCGAUGGGUAGGGGUAAAAUCCGUUGAUCCAUUGAAGACCACCAGUGGCGAAGGCGGCUUGCCAGAACGCGCUCGACGGUGAGGGAUGAAAGCUGGGGGAGCAAACCGGAUUAGAUACCCGGGUAGUCCCAGCUGUAAACGAUGCAGACUCGGUGAUGAGUUGGC
rnacentral:rRNA from 1 species